AAAAAUUCUAGCUUACAUUUGAUAAAAUUGAAGAGGUAAUUUGUCAAACUUGGUAUUGUAAGGGUCAUCAUUCACCUGGAGUUAAACUGACUAAGGUCCUUCGAAACACCAAACAAGCACUUAAGUGGUGGAAGCAAAGCAUCAAUAAUCUAUUUCACAAAGGAUAUCUACUAAAUGAAUGUAUCUAUCAAUAAAAAACAUUGAAAGCUUAAC
rnacentral:lncRNA from 1 species